GCCAUCCUAGCUCAAUUGGCAGAGCACCGCAUUCGUAAUGCGGGGGUUCGGGGUUCGAUUCCCCGGGAUGGCUCCA
rnacentral:tRNA from 1 species